UCCGUAGGCGGGCAAUUAAGUCAGAGGUGAAAUCCCACAGCUCAACUGUGGAGCUGCCUUUGAUACUGGUUGUCUUGAGUUAUAGUGAAGUAGAUAGAAUAUGUAGUGUAGCGGUGAAAUGCAUAGAUAUUACAUAGAAUACCGAUUGCGAAGGCAGUCUACUAACUGUAUACUGACGCUAAUGGACGAAAGCGUGGGGAGCGAACAGGAUUAGAUACCCUGGUAGUC
rnacentral:rRNA from 1 species